rnacentral:rRNA from 1 species
CAAGUCGAACGAGUUCUCGUUGAUGAUCGGUGCUUGCACUGAGAUUCAACAUGGCACGAGUGGCGGACGGGUGAGUAACACGUGGGUAACCUGCCCUUAAGUGGGGGAUAACAUUUGGAAACAGAUGCUAAUACCGCAUAGAUCCAAGAACCGCAUGGUUCUUGGCUGAAAGAUGGCGUAAGCUAUCGCUUUUGGAUGGACCCGCGGCGUAUUAGCUAGUUGGUGAGGUAAUGGCUCACCAAGGCGAUGAUACGUAGCCGAACUGAGAGGUUGAUCGGCCACAUUGGGACUGAGACACGGCCCAAACUCCUACGGGAGGCAGCAGUAGGGAAUCUUCCACAAUGGACGCAAGUCUGAUGGAGCAACGCCGCGUGAGUGAAGAAGGCUUUCGGGUCGUAAAACUCUGUUGUUGGAGAAGAAUGGUCGGCAGAGUAACUGUUGUCGGCGUGACGGUAUCCAACCAGAAAGCCACGGCUAACUACGUGCCAGCAGCCGCGGUAAUACGUAGGUGGCAAGCGUUAUCCGGAUUUAUUGGGCGUAAAGCGAGCGCAGGCGGUUUUUUAAGUCUGAUGUGAAAGCCCUCGGCUUAACCGAGGAAGCGCAUCGGAAACUGGGAAACUUGAGUGCAGAAGAGGACAGUGGAACUCCAUGUGUAGCGAUGAAAUGCGUAGAUAUAUGGAAGAACACCAGUGGCGAAGGCGGCUGUCUGGUCUGUAACUGACGCUGAGGCUCGAAAGCAUGGGUAGCGAACAGGAUUAGAUACCCUGGUAGUCCAUGCCGUAAACGAUGAAUGCUAGGUGUUGGAGGGUUUCCGCCCUUCAGUGCCGCAGCUAGCGCAUUAAGCAUUCCGCCUGGGGAGUACGACCGCAAGGUUGAAAC